rnacentral:other from 1 species
UUAACCCUGCUGUGUACGUGAUGGUUUGCGCUUUUUGAGCCAACGCCAUCCUUUUGGGAAAAGGCAUACAGCGAGGCGCUGUAGUAGCUGAAAGGCCAGGCAAACCCUCGUGGCAACUCAUUUCCCACCUGCUUAUGCAGGUUCAAAACAAGGCAUCCACACGGCAUGGCGGGGCUGUG